rnacentral:rRNA from 1 species
GAUGAACGCUGGCGGCGUGCCUAAUACAUGCAAGUCGAGCGAACGGACGAGAAGCUUGCUUCUCUGAUGUUAGCGGCGGACGGGUGAGUAACACGUGGAUAACCUACCUAUAAGACUGGGAUAACUUCGGGAAACCGGAGCUAAUACCGGAUAAUAUUUUGAACCGCAUGGUUCAAAAGUAAAAGACGGUCUUGCUGUCACUUAUAGAUGGAUCCGCGCUGCAUUAGCUAGUUGGGAAGGUAACGGCUUACCAAGGCAACGAUGGAUAGCCGACCUGAUGGGGUGAUCGGCCAGACUGGAACUGAGACACGGUCCAGACUCCUACGGGAGGCCGCAGUAGGGAAUCUUCCGCAAUGGGCGAGAGCCUGACGGAGCAACGCCGCGUGAGUGAUGAAGGUCUUAGGAUCGUAAAACUAUGUUAUUAGGGAAGAACAAAUGUGUAAGUAACUGUGAACAUAUUGACGGUACCUAAUCAGAAAGCCACGGCUAACUACGUG